GCGCAGNNUAGCUCAAUUGGAUAGAGUACCCGGCUUCGAACCGGGUGGUUACAGGUUCGAGUCCUGUUCGGUGCG
rnacentral:tRNA from 1 species